rnacentral:misc_RNA from 1 species
GAUGAAGAACGCAGCGAAAUGCGAUAAGUAAUGCGAAUUGCAGAAUUCAGUGAGUCAUCGAAUCUUUGAGCGCACAUUGCGCCCUGUGGUAUUCCGCAGGGCAUGCCUGUUCGAGCGUCAUUUCAACCCUCAAGCCUCGCUUGGUGUUGGGCCCUGCCCGCCGCGGCCGGCCCUAAAGAUAGUGGCGGCGCCGCCUGGCCCUCAGCGUAGUACAGCUCUCGCUCCAGGGUCCGGCGGCAGCCUGCCAGAACCCCCCAACUCUGUGGUUGACCUCGGAUCAGGUAGGGAUACCCGCUGAACUUAAGCAUAUCAAUAAGCGGAGGA